UGGGGAGUCGUCUAAGGGUAGGACAGCGGAUUUUGGUUCCGCCAGUCGGGGUUCGAAUCCCUGCUCCCCAG
rnacentral:tRNA from 1 species